GCAUCUGGAUAGGCCUGGUAACAGGAGGCUGCCGUUGGGAGUACCUAGUGUUUACCUAAUUCCAAGACUUAAGCUACACAAAUGUGUAUGUUCUCCCUGAAGGCGGAGCUGGAGGCAUCUAGACUGACUUGACAGAGUUGGAUUGUGCAGGCUGGCAAGGGUCACCUGCAGUAGAAACACGUGGGAGCUCGAUUGGUGCAGAAGCCCUGGACCCAACUGACACAGGGAAAUGAACACCUCAAACAUCAUGGCCUUUAACCCAGAGACAUGGUUUAUUGGAAAAGGCACCUCCAUCAAGAUUCCCUCCAGGAGGGUAUGGAGGAUCAUACCAGCGAUGGAUACUCUUCUGACCCCUCCAGCAAUAGCAGUUGUGCCAGUGUUCUGAAUUGGAAUGUCGCCUUCUGGUCCAAUACAACUCCACUGGCUGUGACAUCCACUACUUUCUCCAGGGAUCAUUAUCCUGGUCACCUUAAAGCAAUGGAGGUCCCAUCAAUAUAACCAGCAUCAUCAAACCCAAUGUCUUCACCCCACCGUUUGCUGUCAGCACCAUCUACUCAACUAGGAAAGUUUCAAUCAAUAGGGAACCCAAUGAAGCAGUGGAAACUUCCACUUUAAUUUCCAUAAGAAGCAGCAAGGAUUUUGAACAACUCCUAUUAGACACUGACUUCAAGGAUGAAGAUUGGUCUGAACCAAUCUGGUUCUUGGUAUUAUAACCUAGCAUAUAUACUAAUGCAUCCAGGUACUGAAUUUUGUUCUUUUCCAUUAUCUUACUGAAUUGAGUACAGCUUUGGACACAUGACAAACUCUAUGCAAAUAAUCCCGAUUUAAUUCCUGAUUUCUGUGCUAGCAUUUUAUUGUAAAAGAACAGCUGCUAAAUAUGCAGAAUUGGUAAUUAUAUUUUAAAUAUACCAGGUCAAAAAUUGAUCAUUUACUGUAUUCCCAACUUAUACUUUUUAAUCCAUAUUCACCUACUAGAAAAUAAGCACUAGGUCUAUGGAAAUUAUGUCCACACUUUAAAACAACAGGGAUAUCAAGUAUGAUGUAUAGAGAACACCUAGGAAACCUAGCAUAUAAUACAUAUCAUUAUCCCUAGUAGUAUACAUCAGGCUUCUAGCUCAAAUCACAGAUUUCUACCCGAAGAAUAUAGGAAUCCAUAUUAAUAAAUCCAUGCCAGUCAUAUUGCAAGUUAUAACUGUAACCUAUACAUUAAAAUUUAAUACAUAGAAUUUUCUAAGUAAGUACAGAUCCCCAAAUUAUGCUUGGGUUAUCCAUCUCAUUUAUACCCAAUUUACAACAUAUGCCAAAAACAGAUUUGCUCAAGGGAAGGAAAAUCUUAAAGUUCCUUGUUGGACUGGUAGGAGGUUUAACUGGAGGAACAAUGGCAGUCACUUUUUCUCAAUUCCAAAUCAAGUCACAUUAAAUUUAAAAAUUUUGAAAUAAAAAAGCUCAAUUUAAUACAUAUAAAAUGACACUUUUAUCAUUGUGUACACGGAUGGAAACAAUUAGCACUAUAUUACAAAAAUUCCACAUGAUGGUAAAAAUUCAAACAAAGCAGCUGAAGAAAAUGCUGAAAAAUAACAAAAUAUCAAAAAAAAACCCAAAAAUAUUUCUCUAGCUGUAGCUUAUCAGUGUACAGUUGGUUGAUAUGUGGAGUACUCUUAAGAUAGCUAUAAUCUUAGGUCAAUGCUGGUUGCCUGAGACAACAGACAGCCCAAGCAGAAGUAGGUACAACAUAUCCUAAUGGCUGUAAUUCCUUGGGCAUCUAUGAAAUUAGAACAUUGGCACUUAAGGAAGGAAACACAAUCUUGGGUUACCACCUUUUUGUAAAAGGAGAAAUAAUUGGAACUCCCAUGAGAGCUGAC